UUUAUCGGAGAGUUUGAUCCUGGCUCAGGACGAACGCUGGCGGCGUGCCUAAUACAUGCAAGUCGAGCGGACAGAUGGGAGCUUGCUCCCUGAUGUUAGCGGCGGACGGGUGAGUAACACGUGGGUAACCUGCCUGUAAGACUGGGAUAACUCCGGGAAACCGGGGCUAAUACCGGAUGGUUGUCUGAACCGCAUGGUUCAGACAUAAAAGGUGG
rnacentral:rRNA from 1 species